UCAGGCCUAACACAUGCAAGUCGAGCGGGAUUAAUUGAUAGCUUGCUAUUGAUUAUGAGAGCGGCGCACGGGUGCGUAACGCGUAUGCAACCUGCCCUUUGCUGGGGGAUAGCCCGGAGAAAUUCGGAUUAAUACCCCAUAGUAUCACUGAUUCGCAUGUUUUAGUGAUUAAAGGUUACGGCAAAGGAUGGGCAUGCGUCCUAUUAGCUAGAUGGUGAGGUAACGGCUCACCAUGGCGACGAUAGGUAGGGGGCCUGAGAGGGUGGUCCCCCACAGGGGUACUGAGACACGGACCAGACUCCUACGGGAGGCAGCAGUGAGGAAUAUUGGUCAAUGGUCGG
rnacentral:rRNA from 1 species